GGCUGGUCCGAAGGUAGUGAUGUUUACAAUUGAUUGCAGAUUUCUUUGUUCCUUCUCCACUCCCACUACUUCACUUGAACAGCCAUCC
rnacentral:Y_RNA from 1 species